ensembl:snRNA LOC120097966 U6 spliceosomal RNA
GUGCUCUCUUCAGCAGCACACAUUGGAACAAUCUGGAGAUAAACAUGGCCCCUGCACAAGAGUGAUGCACAAAUUCAUGAAGUGUUCUAUAUUUUU